rnacentral:rRNA from 1 species
GAUGAACGCUGGCGGCGUGCCUAAUACAUGCAAGUCGAGCGAACGGACGAGAAGCUUGCUUCUCUGAUGUUAGCGGCGGACGGGUGAGUAACACGUGGAUAACCUACCUAUAAGACUGGGAUAACUUCGGGAAACCGGAGCUAAUACCGGAUAAUAUUUUGAACCGCAUGGUUCUAAAGUGAAAGACGGUCUUGCUGUCACUUAUAGAUGGAUCCGCGCUGCAUUAGCUAGUUGGUAAGGUAACGGCUUACCAAGGCAACGAUGCAUAGCCGACCUGAGAGGGUGAUCGGCCACACUGGAACUGAGACACGGUCCAGACUCCUACGGGAGGCAGCAGUAGGGAAUCUUCCGCAAUGGGCGAAAGCCUGACGGAGCAACGCCGCGUGAGUGAUGAAGGUCUUCGGAUCGUAAAACUCUGUUAUUAGUGAAGAACAUAUGUGUAAGUAACUGUGCACAUCUUGACGGUACCUAAUCAGAAAGCCACGGCUAACUACGU